rnacentral:lncRNA from 1 species
AUUUCCGGGGGUUACUCUUCGUAUAUAUGUAAACUAAAACUUGUGUGACUUCGAACGGACGUUGUGUUUUUAUAUGGAACUCUUUUGAAACAAAAGUGUGAACUUUAGUUGAAAGCAUAAAAAUAGUUCUAAAAGACAAAACGAUACUUGGAUGUGAUGUUUCGGGAGAAGAUAAUGUAAACUUGUUUUUUUUCAAGUGGUAUUCUGGAAGUUUUUUGAACCGCCGUACGCCAGGUUCGAUCGCGAACAUUGGGA